UACGGGGGGGGGCAAGCGUUGUUCGGAAUUACUGGGCGUAAAGGGCUCGUAGGUGGCCAACUAAGUCAUACGUGAAAUCCCUCAGCUUAACUGGGGAACUGCGUCUGAUACUGGAUGGCUUGAGUUUGGGAGAGGGAUGCGGAAUUCCAGGUGUAGCGGUGAAAUGCGUGGAUAUCUGGAGGAACACCGGUGGCGAAGGCGGCAUCCUGGACCAAUACUGACACUGAGGAGCGAAAGCCAGGGGAGCAAACGGG
rnacentral:rRNA from 1 species